rnacentral:rRNA from 1 species
GGACCCGCACAAGCGGUGGAGCAUGUGGUUUAAUUCGAUGCAACGCGAAAAACCUUACCUACUCUUGACAUCCUUGGAAUCUCUUGUAAUGAGAGAGUGCCUUUUGGAACCAAGUGACAGGUGCUGCAUGGCUGUCGUCAGCUCGUGUCGUGAGAUGUUCCGUUAAGUCGGAUAACGAGCGCAACCCUUACCCUUAUUUGCCAGCGGUUCGGCCGGGAACUAUAAGGGGACUGCCGGUGAUAAACCGGAGGAAGGUGAGGACGACGUCAAGUCAUCAUGGCCCUUACGAGUAGGGCUACACACGUGCUACAAUGGGAAGUACAGAGGGACGCCAAAGCGCGAGCUGGAGCUAAUCUCAUAAAACUUUUCGUAGUCCGGAUUGCAGUCUGCAACUCGACUGCAUGAAGUCGGAAUCGCUAG